AAUCGACUAGGCGAUUUUAAAUAGGUGUUAAGCCUAGUGCGGUAAGAGGUAUAACCCUCUUGCGUCACG
rnacentral:ribozyme from 2 species